AGAGCGAACGCUGGCGGCAGGCCUAACACAUGCAAGUCGAGCGCCCGUAGCAAUACGGGAGCGGCAGACGGGAUAGUAACACGUGGGAACGCGCCCUUCGGUUCGGAAUAACUCAGGGAAACUUGAGCUAAUACCGAAUACGCCCUUACGGGGAAAGAUUUAUUGCCGAAGGAACGGCCCGCGUCCGAUUAGCUAGUUGGUGAGGUAAUGGCUCACCAAGGCUACGAUCGGUAGCUGGUCUGAGAGGAUGACCAGCAUCACUGGGACUGAGACACGGCCCAGACUCCUACGGGAGGCAGCAGUGGGGAAUAUUGGACAAUGGGCGAAAGGCCUGAUCCAGCCAUGCCGCGUGGAUGAUGAAGGCCUUAGGGUUGUAAAGUCCUUUAACGGGAAGAUAAUGACGGUACCGUAGAAUAAGCCCCGGCUAACUUCGUGCCAGCAGCCGC
rnacentral:rRNA from 1 species